rnacentral:rRNA from 1 species
UACGGAGGGGGCUAGCGUUGUUCGGAAUCACUGGGCUUAAAGGGCGCGUAGGCGGCUCGCGAGGUCGGGGGUGAAAUCCCACAGCUCAACUGUGGAAGUGCCUUCGAUACCGGCGGGCUGGAGGAAGGUAGGGGUGCGCGGAACUUCUGGUGGAGCGGUGAAAUGCGUUGAUAUCAGAAGGAACGCCGGCGGCGAAAGCGGCGCACCUGGACCUUUUCUGACGCUGAGGCGCGAAAGCCAGGGGAGCAAACGGG